rnacentral:ncRNA from 1 species
GUUUUCGGUACUAUCAAAUACCGAAAUUAAAAGGGAAUCAAGUGCAAAUCUUGAGCAACCGCCAUUACCGUAAUUGACGAAAAGGCCGCACUGUGCCAUUGGGAAACCGAGAAGGCGCGACCCUGCAGUAUUACUGCUUUAUCAUAAGUCGGGAGACCUGCCGCAAACGA